rnacentral:rRNA from 1 species
AUUGAACGCUGGCGGCAGGCCUAACACAUGCAAGUCUAACGAGUGGCGGACGUGUGAGUAAUGUCUGGGAAACUGCAUCAUGGAGGGGGAUAACUACUGGAAACGGUAGCUAAUACCGCAUACCAUCGGAUGUGCCCCGAUGGGAUUAGCUAGUCGGUGGGGUAACGGCGCACCUAGGCGAAGAUCCCUAGCUGGUUUGAGAGGAUGACCAGCCACACUGGAACUGAGACACGGUCCAGACUCCUACGGGAUGCAGCAGUGGGGAAUAUUGCACAAGGGGCGCAAGCCUGAUGCAGCCAGGCCGCGUGUAUGAAGAAGGCCUGCGGGUUGUAAAGUACUUGCAGCUGGGAGGCGUUACCCGCAGAAGAAGCACCGGCUAACUCCGUGCCAGCAGCCGCGGUAAUUC